GACGUAGGAGGCGAGCGUUGUCCGGAUUCAUUGGGCGUAAAGAGCGCGCAGGCGGCUUGGUAAGUCGGAUGUGAAAACCCGAGGCUCAACCUCGGGCGUGCAUCCGAAACUGCUCGGCUAGAGGUAGGUAGGGGAGAUCGGAAUCCCUGGUGUAGCAGUGAAAUGCGCAGAUAUCAGGAGGAACACCGAUGGCGAAGGCAGGUCUCUGGGCCACUACUGACGCUGAGAAGCGAAAGCGUGGGGAGCGAACAGG
rnacentral:rRNA from 1 species